rnacentral:rRNA from 1 species
CCUACGGUGGGCAGCAGUGAGGAAUAUUGGUCAAUGGGCGCGAGCCUGAACCAGCCAAGUCGCGUGAGGGAAGACGGCCCUACGGGUUGUAAACCUCUUCUGCCGGGGAGCAACGGGCGCCAUGUGUGGCUCCACUGUGAGUACCCGGAGAAAAAGCAUCGGCUAACUCCGUGCCAGCAGCUGCGGUAAUACGGAGGAUGCGUGCGUCAUCCGGAUUUAUUGGGGUUAAAGGAUGCGUAGCAGGAGGGGUAAGUCAGGGGUGAAAUUGAGGGGCCCAACCCAUUACCGCCAUUGAAACUGGCGCUCUUGAGUGGAAGAGAAGUAUGCGGAAUGCGUGGUGUAGCGGUGAAAUGCAGAGAUAUCACGCAGAACCCCGAUUGCGAAGGCAGCAUGCCGGAUUCCGACUGACGCUGAAGCACGAAAGCGUGGGGAUCGAACAGGAUUAGAUACCCCAGUAGUC